rnacentral:rRNA from 1 species
CCUGCCGAUGACUCGGGGAUAGCCUUUCGAAAGAAAGAUUAAUACCCGAUGGCAUAGUUCUUCCGCAUGGUGGAACUAAUUAAAGAAUUUCGGUCAUCGAUGGGGAUGCGUUCCAUUAGGUUGUUGGCGGGGUAACGGCCCACCAAGCCUUCGAUGGAUAGGGGUUCUGAGAGGAAGGUCCCCCACAUUGGAACUGAGACACGGUCCAAACUCCUACGGGAGGCAGCAUG